rnacentral:snRNA from 1 species
AGCCACGAGUUUAGCUCAUUCCGAACUCGCUUUUCGCCUUUUACUAAGAGCUACCGUGAGAUAAACUCGCUUAGUGGCUUACACGAAUUUUUGAAAAAUCCAACACAUUGGCUAG